AACCCAUGCAUAGGACACUUCCGCAACAAAUCCUUGAAUCUUUCACAUGCUUCAUACAAGAUUUCAUAAUUCAAUUACUUAAAUGAAGUCAAAUCAUUUUGAAGCU